rnacentral:rRNA from 1 species
UACGAAGGGGGCUAGCGUUGCUCGGAAUUACUGGGCGUAAAGCGCACGUAGGCGGAUUGUUAAGUCGGGGGUGAAAUCCUGGAGCUCAACUCCAGAACCUGCCUUCGAUACUGGCGAUCUCGAGUUCGGGAGAGGUGGAGUGGAACUGCGAGUGUAGAGGUGAAAUGCGCAGAUAUCAGGAGGAACACCGAUGGCGGAAGGC